UCCCGUGUCCCUAGUAGAGAGGAAAUACCCAGCUCCAUCCCGAACCUGGAAGUCAAGCUCUCUAACGCCGAUGAUACU
rfam:Helicobacter suis HS5 contig00028, whole genome shotgun sequence.